CGGGGCGUUCGGCGGAGUCUGCACACUACGCCGUGCGCGGGCCCGCUUCCCGGGGACGCAGAGCCUGCCCACGCCGCAGCGACCGCUUCCCCCCAGCCUGCGGACGCAGUUCUAGCAGACGGAAUCGCUGUCGCCUCCAUCUUAAAAGGAGGCACAUUAAAACCCAGACUGUCCACACGAUCGUGCCUGAGCCACCCCACGUGUUCAGCCUUUCGCCUCAGAAAAAUAAUUCAGGGGAAACAAACAGACAGAAGGAAUCUGCGACGCAGCUGCCGCCUCCGGCUUAGCUCCACUGCUGCGCCGCGCCCCUCAGGAGAGGCGGGCAGACGAGCGGCAGGGGAGACCAGGCGCGCAUCGGCAGCAUCGCAUCUCCCGCCAUCUCUCGGCGCGCUUCCCCUGACGUUUAAAUGAGACCGUUUUUAUUUAGAAUAGUUCACAGCACUGGCACCUCGAAGAGGCGGUAAAGCAUAUAUCACCCUAAAAGGGAGGAAGCACGUUUGAUUCAAAGCUUGAGGAGGAAGGAGCUGCAGCCAUGAAUUCACAAACUGUCAGCUGCGGGCGGAGCAGACCUGAGCCGGCGCAGCCUGCGGAGUCUGACAGAAGGCGAGCACACGUGACUUCCGGGUCAGAGGGCAGGUGGGCCACACGUGACUUCCGACUACCAGGUUUGACAAUUCUGGGAGCAGCCGUGGUAAACGUGUCAAAUGUGCGUCCCAAGCAGCUGGGCCAGUUUGCGUCCCACGAGCAAUCAGUCAGCUUGUCUUCCCGCACCUCCAGGGGCAUCUGGACUUUUCUGGACUCCAGUGGUUUCGAUAAUGACGCAUUCUACGGCUCUACCUCGCAGCUUGUUUAUCUGUUCACUGAUUGAAAGGACGUUGGGGAGGGUCAGUCGUCAAUGAGGAUGACGAAGCUACGAAGCCUCCCAUAGCAGCUCUCGGUAUACAUCAGGAUUUUAGCGGAUUUGGAUAAACACAUAGGGAGCACAAUUGCUUUUAUGAAUGUUUGAUUGCAUGAAUUUCUGUAUGGAAAAUAUAAGUAUCUACUUAGACAUGCUUUUUUUUUUUUUUUUUUGACAGGCAGAGUGGACAGUGAGAGAGAGAGAGACAGAGAGAAAGGUCUUCCUUUUGCCAUUGGUUCACCCUCCAAUGGCUGCCGCAGCCGGCGCGCUGCGCUGAUCCGAAGCAGGAGCCAGGUGCUUCUCCUGGUCUCCCAUGGGGUGCAGGGCCCAAGCACUUGGGCCAUCCUCCACUGCACUCCCUGGCCACAGCAGAGAGCUGGCCUGGAAGAGGGGCAACUGGGACAGAAUCCAGUGCCCCGACUGGGACUAAAACCCGGUGUGCCGGCGCUGCAAGGCAGAGGAUUAGCCUAGUGAGCCGCGGCGCCGGCCAUUAGACGUGCUUUAUAUGGAUAGAUGGAUACCUCUCUGCCUCUCUCUCUCUCUCUCUCUCUCUCCCUCUCUCUCUCUCUCCCCCCUCUCUCUCUCCCUCUCUCUCUCCCUCUCUCUCUCUCCCCCCCCUCUCCUCCUCUCUCUUUCUCUCUCCCAUUCUCACUCUCUCCCCCGCUCUCUCUCCCACUCUCUCCACUGAAAUGGCUGCAACGCACU
rnacentral:lncRNA from 1 species